UCAUGGACUAGAGUAUUUAGGAAGAGCAGAGUUCAACUCUGGGUUUGGAAAAAAGACUCAACUUUCAAACCAAAGUAAGUUUUCAUGAAUGAUGUAAUAAACAAGAAAAAACAUACAAACAAGCUCUCAGAAGAGUGUUAUUAGUAAAUGAAGUUGAAUUAUGAACAGGCAGAAUGAUGCUGACCUUUGUGACCUGCUCAUGUGAUACUGAAGAAAGGGCUACUUGGCUUUCAUAAUAAUCAGUGCUUACCACACUGCUAGUGAAAAUGCCAGUGCCACCUUGCAUGGGAUCCUUCUUUUGCACUUACUUAUGGGAUUCGUUCAUUUAGUAGAUUAUUCACAUAGAGCAUAUCUGAAUUUUGUGUUUCCACCAUUGCAGGAUAACAGAGCAUGUUGAACAUAACUGUGUCAUGCUGUCAGUUUCUGGCCUCACAACAGAUGACUGCACAGCUUUACAUACAUACCUUUGUAAGGGUAAACUCACCAACUAAAACACCUACACUUGGAGUCUGCCAGACGAAUCAAGCUUGAUCUUGAAUGCAUUUGGCUCCAGUCUACAAAUUCAGCUGAAAUCAUAUGUAUAUCUAUCUUCAGAACCUGGCACAUAAUCUUUAUCUCAGAGAUAAAAGUAUUUUUGAGUGGGUCACCUACCAUGUAUUUCAAAAGCCCUACUACAUGUUUACCAGGGUUGUUAAGCAACAUACGCUUGGAGAAUGUAAAGGUUAAUUGAGACUGGGUAAUCUAUAAGAGAAGAGGAUAAUAUUCAUUCACGAUUCUGUAUUAUGAGAGCCCAGAGACAAGGCAAUGGCAUCAACUUUGGAUGAGAGUAUCAAACUGCGCUGGUCAUGACAAAGAGAAGAGCAAAGCAUGUGCUCCCCAAAGAAGCAGUGAGAACCCACUUCCAUGAGAAAGGCAGCAGUGUUGUAGAAUUAAAGUGCCUUCCCAGUAAGAAAUCACUCUGCACACAUAGAGACUGAGAGGACUGGGGAGCCAGACCAGAGCCCUAACAGGUUUCUAAAAGCCCUGCCAAGGACCAGGACUUAAUUUUGGUUUAGGUUUACUGGAACUGGCUGAAGCUGAGCAAGCAGUUCCUGGGAAGACCACAACUCAGGGGCAACCAACCAGCCAGUGUUCCACAGCCUUCUGCCGGCUCAGCAGGAAUCCCCGCGCCCCAGCCUUCUGCUAGCUAAAGAUAGCUUUCCCUACCCUGCAGCUGGAAGGUUCCUAACCACUACAGCCUCCAACCAAUCAGUCCCCUGACUAAUCUUUCCUCCACCAAUCAGCACCAGAUUAAUCCCUCCUCCCUGGAAUCCCCCUACCUCUGCUUAAAAAGAGCUUUCAACCUUCCUUUGGGGUCACUAUUUGCCACCCCAUCAUGUUGGAUAUACUAAAUGUUCUUGCUGAUUGUGUACAUGACUGAUGGUCUUUCUUGGGGGCUUCUCUUGGAUGCUAACAUAUUUUUUCAUGCACAGUAAAUUUAUUUUGCAUAAAAGAAAAAGCUUGCCAUAAAUGAAAAAUUCAGUAGAAAAAAAUCCUUUUGUUUAUAAAUUAGGGCUCAAAAAUAGAAGUUGCUUGUUAGUGAACCCUCAGUAGAAAGAGAAUUGUGUAAGAAAACAUUCUUGUCAUGAAAUCUCUAACAGAAAUUCUGUAAUGAAGUAUUAACCAAAAAAUGUUAUUGUCUGCAU